AACGAACGCUGGCGGCAUGCCUAACACAUGCAAGUCGAACGAGACCAUCGGGUCUAGUUGCGCACGGGUGCGUCACGCGUCGGAACGUGCCCGUAGGCUCGGAAUAACUCCCCGACAGGGGUGCUAAUACCGGAUAACGUCUUCGGACCAAACAUUUAUCGCCCUUGGAUGGGCCCGCGUUGGUUUAGCCAGUUGGUAGGGUAAAAGCCUAUCAAGGCGACGCUCCAUAGCUGGUCUGAGAGGAUGAGCCGCCACACUGGGAGUGGGACACGGCCCAGAAUCUUACGGGAGGCAGGAGAGGGUAAUAUUGGACAAUGGGCGAAAGGCUGAUCCAGCAAUGCCGCGUGAGUGAUGAAGGCCUUAGGGUUGUAAAGCUCUUUUAUCCGGGAUGAUAAUGACAGUACCGGGAGAAUAAGCUCCGGCUAACUCCGUG
rnacentral:rRNA from 1 species